rnacentral:lncRNA from 1 species
CAGUGAUCUCCUAGCUACAGCCAAAUCCGCCCCAGAGGCAGAGCGUCGACCACGCCUCUCAACAAAUCAUUGCUUAGUAACGCUAGUAAUCAUCAAAAUCGAGUCGGUGCGGAUAGUUGCUCGUGGACUUCUUUGUUCACGUUCCCUUAACGCCCGUCUCCUGUCAGGAAACAGACGAGUACAGACGGUCUGCUGCUUCUACCCAAGGCCAAAGGACAAUAAUUGAGUUCCAGAAAAGUUGUCUUUUGAGGAGAUACCGGAGGAGCAGGUGAAGAUCUUCCACACCUUUCUG